rnacentral:rRNA from 1 species
GACGAACGCUGGCGGCGUGCCUAAUACAUGCAAGUAGAACGCUGAAGAGAGGAGCUUGCUCUUCUUGGAUGAGUUGCGAACGGGUGAGUAACGCGUAGGUAACCUGCCUUGUAGCGGGGGAUAACUAUUGGAAACGAUAGCUAAUACCGCAUAACAAUGGAUGACACAUGUCAUUUAUUUGAAAGGGGCAAUUGCUCCACUACAAGAUGGACCUGCGUUGUAUUAGCUAGUAGGUGAGGUAAUGGCUCACCUAGGCGACGAUACAUAGCCGACCUGAGAGGGUGAGCGGCCACACUGGGACUGAGACACGGCCCAGACGCCUACGGGAGGCAGCAGUAGGGAAUCUUCGGCAAUGGGGGCAACCCUGACCGAGCAACGCCGCGUGAGUGAAGAAGGUUUUCGGAUCGUAAAGCUCGGUUGUAAGUCAAGAACGGGUGUGAGAGUGGAAAGUUCACACUGUGACGGUAGCUUACCAGAAAGGGACGGCUAACUACGUG